CAGGGUUUGGUCUCGGGCCCCGUAGGUGCCUGGAAAUCUAAUGGUUCCCAGGAAUUUCAUGAGGCAAGGUUCCCAGAGGUGUUGGGUCUGGCUUCAGAUUUUUCUGGAGACCCAUGUUAAGACAGCUAAACCGAGAGGUGGGACAGUCUUAGGUUCCCACCUUUUCCAGGUCACAAAGCUGAAGCCGGGGUUGCUCUGGGAGAAGACACCACAGAAGUGCCUUCAAGAUGAGCUGAGGGCUCCCUCCCUCGCCUGCGCAGGGCCUGCAUUCAGUGAGGAUAGCUUCCAGAGCCCCUGCAUGAGUGUGCAGGAUUAGGGAAGUGCUCGUGGGGGGUGGUCAUGCCUAUCUCUCUGCUGCAUUGCUGUUCUGUUAAACCAGGUCCUACCAUGUGAGUAAUGAGAUCAGAGGAGCAAGAGAGCUCAGAGCUGAAGGACUGUGCUAACUCACUGCCGUGAUGGCUGACUGCUGAGCACCAUCCCAGGCUUGCUCGACCUGCAAACACGCUUGUUCAGGAACUGGAGCAUGGCCACCUUGGCCAUUUGGUUUCUGAGUCUUCAAAUGGUUGUGGCCCACACGGUUAGAGCUCAGGGUUGCUGGUGAGAACUGCUGUGAGUUCCAGAGCACUUACAAGGCCAAAAUCCCCUAUUUUCACCUCCAGAUCCUCGUUCAGGAAGAGGUUGCCCAGCUUGAGGUCCCUGUGAAUGACCUGAUUGCGGUGCAGGUACUGGCAGCCCAGGACUAUCUGUCACAGUAGUAGCGGGCCUCAGGCGCUGUCAGUGCCUUCCUCCUCGUGUGCAGCUCCAGGAAGGACCUCCUUCGACAGCUCCAAAACUACAAGCACAAAGUCGCUGUCCUGGAAAAAGUCAUGGAAGCCUACAAAGUGUUGGUGUGCGAGGCUGUGGUGAAUUGAGAUCCAUAGACAUCUCCUUCUGGUGGGGCUUGAGCAGCAAAGACUUAGGCACGAUCUUGCCUGCUAACACCUCUUUUGUGUCUGUAUCUGAGAUCUCGAAGCAUUUGCUGAAGCCUCCUUUACCCAGAAAGCGCCCCUGUAUA
rnacentral:lncRNA from 1 species